UAAAAGUACACAUUUUUCUGGGCAUGAUGGU
rnacentral:piRNA from 1 species